UGAGGUCUCACAGAGUUACUAGAUGAGAAGGUCAUUUUAAAAAUUACUUAGAGUUACUGCAGGGUUCUUGUAAAAAAUAAAUGGAAAAGAGGUGAUAGGAGGGAAAUCUAGGACUGGGUCACCUGGAAUCCCAGCAGGUUUGACAUAAGUGUGCACACAGUCUCUGAAUACUGCUGACAGGCACAAAGGCGGUCAGGGAGGCAUGGAUUCUUCUCCUGGCUCUGCCUGUAAGAUAUGUUGUAUUCACGGGAAGGUACCUGGACAACUUCUCAGGUAAGAAUGUUCUUUUGUUUCCCAGAUACAUUGUGGGGAUUGAGAGAUAGAGAAUAGUAAAAUGAUAAUACGGGUCUAAAUCACUCUUUUAAACAGCAUGAUGGGAGCAUACCUGUUUUGGGAUUCUAAUCAUGACUUAGAAAGUGCUGUGCUGCCUGGAUUUGGAAUUGGUUUCAGGGUGAAGAGAGUUUGAAGUUCACUAAAGAUAUCAAAAAUGAUAUAUAAUGGCUGGAAGUUGGCUAUGAAUGAUUUAGGUUCAAGUUAAAUAUUGCAGGAUGAGACUGAAGUCUAUGGCAUAUCAUAUUUCAUUCAAUUUGAGAUACUAUUCACUGUAAUAUGCACCAAUACUUUACGUACGAGCAAGAAAGAAAGCCCAUUGGCAAUUAUAAUUCCAAGACACUUUUGCUUGUGCUAUGUAUUUGGAUUUUUGAAAAUUAAAAUGUGAAAAUAUAUGCUUCUUAGAAACAAAAACUAAAAAAUAUAUGUUUGUACACACAUGUUUUUUCUUUAUACACACACACACACACGUUACUACUGAUCAUCUCAUGUUCACCAAAAGCUAAGUGAGUCCAAAACUAAAGUCAAUAUAUCUGCCCCUAACUUUGUUCUCUUCUCCUCCUUCUUUUUAUGCUGAAUGGCCCUGCUCUUUUCUCAGUAGCUUGACUCACUUCUCUCUCUCACUCCCCAUACCUCACUAGUCAUCAAGUUCUUUGGCUUCCUCUAUUCUCUUUGCUCUGUUUAUUUUUGCUCCUUUCCCCAUUAUCUGACUAACUUUACCUCACCUGUCAGACUCCACCUUUGAUGUUGAAAAACAUGCUGAAAUGUGCCAAGUCCAGAUUAGUAGGUCCCUCGAGCUCCCGCAUCUACUGAGCUCCUAUAUUUCUAUUCACAACCCUUAUCCCAAGUUGUACUCAAUUGCUUCCCUGUCUGUACCUACCACUAAACCACAAGUUCCUCGGCAACAAGGAAUGUCAGUCUGCUUCACAGUUGUGUUCCUAGAACCAAGAACGGUGCCUCAUGUGGAUCAAUUGUACAAAACUCAAUGAUGAAUCAAUUUUAGUUUAGAUUUUAAAAAAUAAAAGUGAUUUGGUUUUCAGAUAUUAUAAAGAGGAAUACAUGAAAAUAGCAUUCUCAAAUUGAAAGCGGUCCAAAGAAAAACAGCACAAUGUUGAGCAAAAGAGCAAUCAUUUAAGUCAAAUAAAAGCUAACUAAAUGCACUAAAUUUCUAAUACAUGUAAAGUGUUCAUUUUAUCCAUUUUUGCCUUCAUGCCAGACACAUACUGUAUAUCACAGUCAAGAAAGUUUUAUUUUAGCAGUUUAAUUGUGUUUCCUAACUCUCAGCUACCCUUUUCAUCUUUUGGGAAAAUGAUCAGUAACCUACAUUGAUUGUAUUUCUGCUUCUGUAGGACAAGAGGCUCUUAAUGGAACCUGUGAUGGCUUUGGGUCAGAGAAUGAAGAAUGCCAGUCUAUUUCUUUCCAAGAUUUUUUUUAAAGGAAAUAUAAAAGGUUAACUAUCUUUCUUGAAGAGCUUGCCUAAAAAUGAAGUUGAAGUCAUUAUCAAUGGACUACAUAAUUUUACUCUACAGACAUUCUUCUAUCAGAUGUAUGACAAUUAGAAAGUUUAUAAAGUAGAAAUCUCAAGGUGUCUAGAAUUUAAAUUUCUUUAAUUUUAUAUACUAACUCAGGAAUAUGGAGUAAAUCCAUUAAUUUAUGAGUAGCAGCUUCCUGUAAACACAGGUGAUAAUAUAUGACUUUUAUAUGUAUUAAAAGUAAAAGUAAAUGAGAUUUUAAAUUUUUAAAAAUUCUUUAGUUUGUCAGGUGAAGUUCAUGACACUUAAACAUGUAAAACAAAGGAAACAUAACAAAGUAAAACAAAGCCUAAUGUUACACCAGAAACACAAUAAAACUCUUUAUUUUAGUUAGAAAACAGAAUUCAGGGAUGCUUAGGGGGCUCAGUUGGUUAACCAUUGGACUCUUGAUUUCGGCUCAGGUCAUGAUCUCAUGAUUUUUGAGUUCAAGCUCUGUGUCAGGCUCUGCACUGACAGCGUGGAGUCUUUUUGGGAUUUUCUCUCUCCCUCUCUCUCUGACCUUCCCCAGUUCAUACUUUCUCUGUCUCAAAAUAAAUAGACAUUAAAAAUUUUUUAAAAGGAAAAAAGAAUUCAAAUUUCCCAGCUAUAUUUUGUAAUAUUUUGUAUAUUUUGUAUAUAUAAGGCAUUAUGUAAUGUAUAAUGUGACUUUUUUCAAAAUCAAGUGGGAUUUAUACCAGUAGUUCAUAGUGAUUUUUUUCCAAAACAAAUUAAGACCUAAAUGGCAUAUUGAAUAACCAAUACCUCUCAUGAGAGUCCCUUAAUGUAAGAUGCUGAAAAAUCGUAGAAUACAAUAGUGACAUAUACAGAAGGUAUGUCAGAAUAGGAAGUCUGCAUGAAAAAAUUCUGCAGAGAUAAUCAGCGGACACAAAUUUAUUGCUGCUUACUUGUAUAGUCACCUUGGUUUCUUCAUGCAGCAAGUUUUAUCCUCAGUGUUCUACUAAGACUGAAGAGAUAGAAUGGUAUGAAACAGUUAAAAGUUCUCCUUAAAAAAAAAAAAGUUCUUUUCUUCCUGAUUCAACAUGACAUUUUUUUUCUCAUUUGUAACAUGAUAGAUAUUUCUGUCCUUUGGGUAAAGUAUUUGAUUGAACAUUUAAGUUACUUUUUUAGAUCUUCAAUUUUCACUGAUUCAUCUCAAUAAUACCUUGGCUUUUUCACCUCUCACAGCUCCUAGCUUUAAUAUAUCCCAACAUUAUAGGUAACAAAAUCACAAAAAUCGCUUUGUGUACUGUAUUAUUGAGAACUAUAAAUGGUCUUAGAGAAUCCUUAGCUGAAAAUCAAAUUUUCUUUUAAUAUUAAAUCAUGAGUAUUUGCCAUGCUUUAAUUAAAUACUUCAGUUCCUCGUACAUGCUAAAUAUUGGAUGGACAUUGCUGGUUGACACAUUUAUGUGAGAUCAAUUUUUAAAUUAUUUUAAGAUUAAAGUCACACAUAGAUUUGAUUCCCUCUUUUUAUGAGAAUUCCAAAUUUCCAAUAAGAGUACUGGAUGAUGUAAACUCUUUAGUUUCCUAAAUUGUAUUCGUCAAUGAUUCUAAUAUCUGGGUGCCAUAACCAAUGCAUUCAUGAGUGAUUGAGUGGAGAUCAGGAUUUUACAGCUAAUCCCAUUUGUGCUUGUAGGUCUUGUACACUGAUAUAAGGAAGGAACCAUAACAACUUUCUAUGUUGAAAACUGUAGAUUCUUACUUGGGUAUGACCCCUCAGGUUCCUAAAAAAUUGUGUCAGCUUUGCCUAAAGAAAUAAAAAUUCAGGUUUGUCCAUACUAUGCUUAAAGAAUUGGAUUAAGAGUAGAAAAUGCAACUACUUUUUCUUUUUCCAAAUCACUUUUUAACAUAAGAAUAAUUUAUUUAUUAUGUUAAUUACUCACUUUGUCUCUCCUCUUUAAAAUGUAAAUUAUAAAAGUAGUGAAAUAAUUAUCUAUUUUGUUCAUGGUAUACCCAAGAACCUGAAAAACUACUAGUCUCAUGAUAAGCACCCAAUACAUUAAAAUAUAUAUAUAUAUAUAUAUAUAUAUAUAUAUAUAUAUAUAUAAAGAGAGAGACAGAGACAGAGAGAGAGAGAGAGAGCAGGGGAAGGGCAGAGAGAGAGAGAGGGAGAGAGAGAAUCCCAAGUAAGCUCUGUGCUUUCACCACAGAGUCCAAUGCAGAGAUCGAGCUCACAAACCUGAGCCAUGACCCGAGAUCAUGACCUGAGCCAAAAGCAUGUGUCGGACGCUUAACCAACUGAGGCACCCAGGUGCCCCAGCACCGAAUACAUUUUUUAAAUAUAUAAAUGAUCUUUAACUUAUUAAAAAUAAGCAUAAGUAUUAUUAGCUCAAUGCACAGAUAGAAUGAGAACACAAAAACUCCUUGAUCAAAUAUUUAUACCUACUAGGUAGCCUGAGCUAAAAUUUAAAUCCCAAUGUGUGUGACUCUUUAGUCUUUGCUUUCUACUAUACCACCCUUCUAUCUAAUAAGGAAGCACAAGAGAGAUCCUUUAUUGUCCGAAAGAAAGUCACUCAAACAAUAGAUCUUAUAUUUUGGAAUAAAAAAUUCCAUAGUAUAAUCUUUUCUUCUCUGCUUCAACUAUUUACAUUGUGAUUACAUUAGUAGUACAUAAGUUAAAGAAAGGAGAUUGUGGGGCGCCUGGGUGGCGCAGUCGGUUAAGCGUCCGACUUCAGCCAGGUCACGAUCUCGCGGUCCGUGAGUUCGAGCCCCGCGUCAGGCUCUGGGCUGAUGGCUCAGAGCCUGGAGCCUGUUUCCGAUUCUGUGUCUCCCUCUCUCUCUGCCCCUCCCCCGUUCAUGCUCUGUCUCUCUCUGUCCCAAAAAUAAAUAAACGUUGAAAAAAAAAAAUUUAAAAAAAAAAAAAAGAAAGGAGAUUGUGAUGAAACAUGGAAAAGAAUAGAUCAACUUGGCAAAAAAAAGGGAGGAUGGGACAGGAUGAAAAAAAUAUAAUGGAAGAAAAAGCCAGAGUGUUUAAUAGAAAUUGUUCCCCAAAACUGUAUAUGUUCUAAUUUUUGUAAGACUUGGGAUAGCUCCCACUCAUGAGCUGUCCAUAUAUUAUUUUUUCUUAUUAUUUCUGAGCUAUUACCAAUCUUCCAUUUUGUCAUGUGCCAGAAAAUGUAAAGAUACAAUUAAAUAGAGCUCGUUUGCUACUCUCCUCAGAAAAUAAUUGGAGGGAACAUUCUUUUUUUUUUUUUUUUUAAUUUUUUUUCAACGUUUAUUUAUUUUUGGGACAGAGAGAGACAGAGCAUGAACGGGGGAGGGGCAGAGAGAGAGGGAGACACAGAAUCGGAAACGGGCUCCAGGCUCUGAGCCAUCAGCCCAGAGCCUGACGCGGGGCUCGAACUCAUGGACCGCAAGAUCGUGACCUGGCUGAAGUCGGACGCUUAACCGACUGCGCCACCCAGGCGCCCCUGGAGGGAAAAUUCUAUUGGCUUAUGAAUGAGAACUGAAAUAAAUUGUACCUGGUUUAUAUGGUUUACCAAUAUUAAAAAGUAUUACAUAGAGAUGAUUUUCAUAAUAAAUAGAAUUUAUUUAGUCAUAAAAUGUUGUCAUUCCACACCACUUUAUUAUCUAGGUUUGCUUUCCACCAGCCCACGAACAAAGACUAUUUUUCAUAGUAAGAGCAUACAUAUGUCAGAAAAUAGACUGGCAUUUCAGUACUGGCUCUGUCAUGUUCUCAAUGUGUGGCCUCAAGAUGAUGCUGUAUGCUUUCUAAGGUUCUGUUUCCCCAGUUGUAAAGUGAGGUUAAUUUGUGUGUUUGCUUCAAAGAGAUACUGUGAAAAUCAAUAGGAGAUAAUAUUUUAAAAGUCGUUGGUAAACCCUUAAUAAAUGUUUUCAUUUUUCUUAUAUUGUGAUAUUGAUACACCUGCAUAUACUCUCUUUUUUCUCUCUCUCCCAUAAAUAUCACAGCAUAAGCUUAGGUCUUUAUAAAUAUAAGUUUGGGGACGCCUGGGUGGCUCAGUCAGUUGAACAUCCGACUCCUGAUUUCAGCUUAUGUCAUGAUGCCAGCCAGGGUCAUGAGAUCAAGCCCUGGAUUGGACUCUGCUGAGCAUGGAGCCUGUUUAAGAUUCUCUCUCCCUCACUUGUGCUCUCCUUCUCUCUCUAAAGAAAAAUAAAAUAUAUUAAUAAAUAAAUAUAAAUUUAACAUCAUUGUUGAUGGUGGUGGUCCUGUCGAUGUUGCUGGGUAUUUUUCCCAGAUAGUCAUAAAGUACUUGACAGAGUUAAAGGACUUUAAAAUGGACUUUACAAAAAGAAGCAGGAAAAAUAACUAGUGGACAAAUACUAGCUAGGGAAUUUCUUUAAAAGAGAGAUAUCUCAUUUUUAUGGCUCUCAUGAGUCAUCCUAAAUGGAUUACAUCCAGGCCGACAUUAAUUUGUAUGGUUCCUCUGCUGCACAGGGAAUAUAGCAGAUGGACUAUUAUUAUUCAUAUCCUUUACAAACAAUAACUGAUAAAUGCCAUUGGCAUUACAAGUUCUUUGGGAGUACGUAAGUUUAUAUAGUGUAAACUCAAAUAAAUCACUAGGGUUUCUAAGUAUUCAAAGUAUUACUGAGUAUUGGCCCAUAUUUCUCAUUGGUAUGGUAAAAGAAAAAAGAGACGGAUGUCAUUGAGAUAUAAGUUAGCCCCAUUCUAACUUUGGAUAAAAGAGAGCUUGUUAUUGAAAAUUUCAUUAUUUUCUUAUUGCUCAAUUCUUAAAACUUUUAUAUCAAGUCUGCUACUUUAAUUCAUAUUGAUCUCAAUUUAUUUCUCCAUUUAAUUUUCCACAACUAAUACUUUUCUUUAUUUCAAAUAAAUUUAGGUUUUUUAUAAAUACAAAAAAAUAUUCUUAGGUUCUUCUGCUAUGUAUCAUUGAUUACUAUAUUAAUAUAAACCUAUUUUUAUUUAAUUGAGUUGGUCUCCUUUGGUAAGUGUUCAGUAUCUAUCUCCUUGUAAUUAACAGUAUUUGGAGAGACCUUUGAGGUAAGAAUUCAAAUCUUCUUUAGAGACCCAGCUACAAAGAGAGGACUCCACCCGGAUUUUUGAGUGGCAGAAGGAGAGCACCCACCGGUGAGCAGCGUUCACCAGUGAACGUUAUGUGGAGGUACCAAGCAAUGGAAGGAUGUUAGCGGACUAAAUAAAAGGUAUUGACCAUAUCUUCCAGGAAAAAAGGGCUGGCUAUGAGAAAUGAAUUAUGAAGACUUAUUUGUGAAAAGUUAGUUAUCCAAAGAUAAGAUUCAAGAAGCUUAAGCCAGGGCAAAAAGUUUAACUCUGAAGAGUUAGUUUUUCAGAUAAGAGCCAUCUUGAAAAAAAUAAAAUAAUUAUUAUUGUCAUUCUCUCUUCAGAACUUAAAAUGUCACUACUAGGUUAACCUAUGGAAAAAUGAAGUGUGCUUUGUUUCCACGGAAUAUUUAAAUCAUCUGGUAACGUAUGCAACAGAAUCAAGUCUCCAUUCUUCUGGAGUCUUGUCUCCAGGGAAAUCA
rnacentral:lncRNA from 1 species